CUUUAUAUUAACGCUUUAAAUGUUAGUUUAUAUGUUUGCUUGUUUGUUGUUUAUUUUUUAGUUCUUAAUUAAUAAUAUUUAUUAAUAAAUUGAUAUUAGUCAAACCCCGUUUAUAAAAUAACGCUGGUCAGGGGAAGUAAUUGUUGCGGUCUAUGAUUUUGUUUGUUUGUCUAUGAUUAUCGUUCGUGCAAAUGGUGGCGCUGUUUGGAAAAUUUGAAAACAACACGAUUGGCAAUUUAUUUGGAUUUCGAAGAUCCUGGUCCUGGCUGAAAUUUAGAGUAUUGCAGCUGUAGUCUGUAUACCAUACACUCAACAUGAAAAGGACUGUCAGGAUGCUGCACAAAAUGGUCUUAACUAGAGCCUAGAAUGUUAAUUUCUUGGGAAUAUGCUGAAAGGAACUGACGGGGAGCAGUUUUUCUUACCAAUGAUAGAAGCAGUAAGAGACAGCCAAAGAGGUACUCAAACACCUGACAUACCCUGAAAGAUCUAGAAGAAAAGAUUGGAACAGAUUGUAGCUUAAUUGUUAAAACUAUUAAAGUGAAUUUAAGCUGCACUUGAACUGUAUUUUUUAAAUAAAAUAUCUGAUGUAUUUAAUAUUGUCUUGAUAUUUUGUUAAACUUAGUAACUUUGCUUUAUAUCCAAAAAUUAAAGUAUGGUGGGUUUUCAACGUUGAAAUGACAUUGAAACUUCAACGUUGUACCAACGUUGGUUUUCAACCUUGAAAUGACAUUGAAAAUUCAACGUUGUACCAACGUUGAAGCUGCAACGUUGUAUCAACUUUGAAAUUUCAACGUUGUUUCAA